rnacentral:rRNA from 1 species
GACGGUACUUGAUGAAUCAGCUUCGGCUAAUUCCGUGCCAGCAGCCGCGGUAAUACGGAAGUGGCAAGCGUUAUCCGGAAUGAUUGGGCGUAAAGCGUCCGCAGGCGGCCUUGUAAGUCUGUCGUCAAAGCGUGGAGCUUAACUCCAUUUAAGCGAUGGAAACUGUAAGGCUAGAGUGUGGUAGGGGCAGAGGGAAUUCCCGGUGUAGCGGUGAAAUGCGUAGAUAUCGGGAAGAACACCAGUGGCGAAGGCGCUCUGCUGGGCCAUAACUGACGCUCAUGGACGAAAGCCAGGGGAGCGAAGGGGAUUAGAUACCCCUGUAGUCCUGGCCGUAAACGAUGAACACUAGGUGUCGAGAGGAAUCGACCCCCUCGGUGUCGUACCCAACGCGUUAAGUGUUCCGCCUGGGGAGUACGCACGCAAGUGUGAAACUCAAAGGAAUUGACGGGGGCCCGCACAAGCGGUGAAGUAUGUGGUUUAUUCGAUGCACGCGAAGAACCUUACCAGGGUUUGACAUCCUGCGAAUCCUUUGGAAACGAGGGAGUGCCUUGGGGAGCGCAUAGACAGGUGGUGCAUGGGCUGUCGUCAGCUCGUGUCGUGAGAUGUUGGGGUUAAGUCCCGCAACGAGCGCAACCCACGUCCUUAGUUGCCAGCAUUUAGUUGGGCACUCUAGCGAGACCGCCGGUGAUAAACCGGAGGAAGGUGUGGAUGACGUCAAGUCAUCAUGCCCCUUACAUCCUGGGCUACACACGUACUACAAUGCUACGGACAAAGGGCAGCAAACUCGCGAGAGCUAGCAAAUCCCAUAAACCGUGGCUCAGUUCAGAUCGUAGGCUGCAACUCGCCUACCAGAAGGAGGAAUCGUUAGUAAUCCCAGGUCAGCAUAGUGCGGUGAAUACGUUCCCGGGCCUUGUACACACCGCCCGUCACACCAUGGAAGUAGGCCACGCCGGAAGCCGUUACUCCAACCUUUGUGGAGGAGGACGU